rnacentral:rRNA from 1 species
GAUGAACGCUGGCGGCGUGCCUAACACAUGCAAGUCGAACGGAGUUCUUGAGGAAUGCGGCUUCGGCCAAAUGACUUUUGAACUUAGUGGCGGACGGGUGAGUAACGCGUGAGCAACCUGCCUUUCAGAGGGGGAUAACAUUUGGAAACAGAUGCUAAUACCGCAUAAGAUUACAGUACCGCAUGAUACAGUGAUCAAAGGAGCAAUCCGCUGAAAGAUGGGCUCGCGUCCGAUUAGAUAGUUGGUGAGGUAACGGCUCACCAAGUCGACGAUCGGUAGCCGGACUGAGAGGUUGAACGGCCACAUUGGGACUGAGACACGGCCCAGACUCCUACGGGAGGCAGCAGUGGGGGAUAUUGCACAAUGGGGGAAACCCUGAUGCAGCGACGCCGCGUGAGGGAAGACGGUCCUCUGGAUUGUAAACCUCUGUCUUCGGGGACGAAAGAAGACGGUACCCGAGGAGGAAGCCACGGCUAACUACGUGCCAGCAGCCGCGGUAAUACGUAGGUGGCAAGCGUUGUCCGGAAUUACUGGGUGUAAAGGGAGCGUAGGCGGGCAGGCAAGUCAGGCGUGAAAUAUAUCGGCUCAACCGGUAUCUGCGCUUGAAACUGCAGGUCUUGAGU